GAGAUUUAUGAUGAUGCCGUUACUCUUGCACCAAACUCAGAUGUUACAACAGAGGACUAUGAUGAUGUCAUCUCCCCUGGACAGGACUCAGGAGGUGGUACAGGUGAGAAUACAGAUGCAGUUUAGGUGGAGCCCAUUAUAACAGAGUAUGAUAAACUGUACGACACAAAGGAAAGGCUUCAGACAGCGAAGACCUCAUGAAUGAGGUUGCUUAUGCUCAGGAAAUUACAUUUCAUGUCUUGAAACUCAAACAGUGAUUAGUGAUAGUAUAUAAUGGUUCAAUGGUCCUGCAGUACCCCUAAAAUCAUUUCUAAGCAU